rnacentral:rRNA from 1 species
GACAGAGGGGGCAAGCGUUGCUCGGAAUUACUGGGCGUAAAGGGCGCGUAGGCGGGUGCUCAAGUCCGUGGUGAAAUCCUCCGGCUCAACCGGAGAACUGCCUCGGAUACUGGGCGUCUCGAGUGUGGUAGGGGUAUGCGGAACUAUCGGUGGAGCGGUGAAAUGCGUUGAUAUCCGGAGGAACACCAGUGGCGAAGGCGGCCUUCUGGACCAUUUCUGACGCUCAGACGCGAAAGCUAGGGGAGCAAACGGG